UGGGCUAUAGCCAAGCGGUAAGGCAACGGACUUUGACUCCGUCACUCACUGGUUCGAAUCCAGUUAGCCCAGCCA
rnacentral:tRNA from 15 species